rnacentral:rRNA from 1 species
CUGCGGAAGGAUCAUUAUUGAAUUCACAGCGGUGCUGUUGCUGGCCUUCCGGGGCAUGUGCACGCCCGCAUAUAUUCAACCACCUGUGAACACAUUGUAGACCUGGGACAAAUUCUCAAGGAAACUUGGACGUAGGGCUUGCAGGUCUCUCAGGGAUCAGCUGCUCUUUGCGUUCUGGGUCUAUGUCUUAUACACCCCAGUAUGUCAAAGAAUGUCUUUAAUGGCUGUAUUGGCCUUAAACUUAAUACAACUUUCAACAACGGAUCUCUUGGCUCUCGCAUCGAUGAAGAACGCAGCGAAAUGCGAUAAGUAAUGUGAAUUGCAGAAUUCAGUGAAUCAUCGAAUCUUUGAACGCACCUUGCACCCUUUGGUAUUCCGAAGGGUAUGCCUGUUUGAGUGUCAUUAAAUUCUCAACCUUACUGGCUUUGCUUGUAAGGCUUGGAUGUGAAGGCUGCCGGCCUCUCAGAGGACGGCUCCUUUCAAAUGCAUUAGCGGAACUGUCGUGUAUCGCUCACGGUGUGAUAAUUAUCUGCGCCUACGAGUUUGAUCAUGAAAAGGGUUCUGCUUCUAACUGUCUUCAGAGACAAUCUACUUGACAUUGACCUC